rnacentral:rRNA from 1 species
UACGUAUGGAGCAAGCGUUAUCCGGAUUUACUGGGUGUAAAGGGAGCGUAGGCGGUGCUAUAAGUCUGAUGUGAAAGCACGGGGCUCAACCGCGGGACUGCAUUGGAAACUGUAGGACUGGAGUGUCGGAGGGGUAAGUGGAAUUCCUAGUGUAGCGGUGAAAUGCGUAGAUAUUAGGAGGAACACCGGUGGCGAAGGCGGCUUACUGGACGACAACUGACGCUGAGGCUCGAAGGCGUGGGGAGCAAACAGG